AUGGCAGAAAAGCAAGUGUCCAGUCUGCUGUACAUUUUAUUGACUGAACUUAUUACACUAGCUACUACUGUUUAUUCGGAGCAGCAAAGAACCCACAGCAAACACGCACGCUCUGAAGGUCUCUGCCACAGGCUUCAAAAGCGGAGAAAUGAAAGCAAACAUGCCCUACAUGCCGGAGAAAUCCAGGAACGUCGACUCGGCAAGAUCGAUGGCACGAGCGAGGCCGGCUGCCUUGUUCUGGCACUCCUGCUGCUCGUCGUCCGGCUUGCUGUCGGCGACGAUCCCGGCGCCGGUCUGAAGGUGCGCCACCCACUCCUGGCGUGCGUUGCUGCUGUCGGCGGCAUAUGA
rnacentral:rRNA from 1 species